rnacentral:rRNA from 1 species
AUUGAACGCUGGCGGCAGGCCUAACACAUGCAAGUCGAGCGAGCGGCGGACGGGUGAGUAAUGUCUGGGAACCUGCCUGAUGGAGGGGGAUAACUACUGGAAACGGUAGCUAAUACCGCAUCCCAUCAGAUCUGCCCAGAUGGGAUUAGCUAGUCGGUGGGGUAAUGGCUAACCUAGGCGACGAUCCCUAGCUGGUCUGAGAGGAUGACCAGCCACACUGGAACUGAGACACGGUCCAGACUCCUACGGGAGGCAGCAGUGGGGAAUAUUGGACAAUGGGCGAAAGCCUGAUGCAGCCAUGCCGCGUGUGUGAAGAAGGCCUUCGGGUUGUAAAGCACUUUCAGCGGGGAGGCGUUACCCGCAGAAGAAGCACCGGCUAACUCCGUGCCAGCAGCCGCGGUAAUAC